CUACCCAACUUACCCAACCCUAUCCCUCCCUCCCUUUCCCCUCCACCCAUUCACUUUUCUUAUCUCUUUCUCUCUCUAUUUCAAAUUUCCUUACAAGAACUUAAACACACACACACAUAGCGCGCUCUCUCUAGAAUUCUUGUAUCCAAACAUUGUUAUUAGUGAAAUAGUUAGUAGAUUAUCAUUAUCAACAAAGAUUUGGGUUAUCAAAGUGCAAGAAACUCCCCCUUUAGCUCAAAACUCGGAUUUAUCACUUGGUGUAAGUUUUGAGUUCCCCUGGACUUAUGGGGUUGAGAAGUACCAGCCAUAUGGAACAAGAAGCUGCUAUACAUGCUUUGUCAAACUUGUUAGACUAUAAUACCUGCAAGAGCUAAUCCGCAACUUGAUAAGGUUAACGGCAUAUUUCUAUUUUUGUUAUGUCGUUCGACAUUUAAAUAUUUACGGCACUUGAAAAGUGAUACGAUUUGAUUUAUUAAUGACUUAUUAAUAGAUAAUAUCAGUUAAAGUUACUUUUCACCA